AUUGAACGCUGGCGGCAUGCUUUACACAUGCAAGUCGAACGGCAGCGCGGGCUUCGGCCUGGCGGCGAGUGGCGAACGGGUGAGUAAUACAUCGGAACGUGCCCAGUAGUGGGGGAUAGCCCGACGAAAGCCGGAUUAAUACCGCAUACGACCUGAGGGUGAAAGCGGGGGAUCUUCGGACCUCGCGCUAUUGGAGCGGCCGAUGGCAGAUUAGCUAGUUGGUGGGGUAAAGGCCUACCAAGGCGACGAUCUGUAGCUGGUCUGAGAGGACGACCAGCCACACUGGGACUGAGACACGGCCCAGACUCCUACGGGAGGCAGCAGUGGGGAAUUUUGGACAAUGGGCGAAAGCCUGAUCCAGCAAUGCCGCGUGUGUGAUGAAGGCCUUCGGGUUGUAAAGCACUUUUGGCGGGAACGAAAAGGACUGUGCCAAUACCACGGUUCGAUGACGGUACCCGCAGAAUAAGCACCGGCUAACUACGUG
rnacentral:rRNA from 1 species